AGAAAAAGAAAGAGAAGAAGGGGAUCAGGAGACGGCGGUGGAGAUGAGUCUGGUGGUGCAGAGGCGCGGGUGCCGUGUGGGAUCGUGUGAGGCGGCGGAGCAGCGCACGGUGUCGCUGCAGGCUCAGGAACGGCGUGUGGGCGGCUCCGCCCCGGUGCGGCGGAGAGCCCGGCUGUGAGCGCGGGGGGGCGGCUGGGGCCGGGCAGCGGAGCCGGGGCGU